rnacentral:rRNA from 1 species
AACAUUCUGGACCGAUACUGACACUGAGGGACGAAAGCGUGGGGAUCAAACAGGAUUAGAUACCCUGGUAGUCCACGCUGUAAACGAUGAGUACUAGCUGUUGGAGCCGGUGUAAAGGCUCUAGUGGCGCAGCUAACGCGAUAAGUACUCCGCCUGGGGACUACGGCCGCAAGGCUAAAACUCAAAGGAAUUGACGGGGACCCGCACAAGCGGUGGAGCAUGUGGUUUAAUUCGAUGCAACGCGAAGAACCUUACCUGGUCUUGACAUCCUGCGAUCUUUCUAGAGAUAGAUUGGUGCCUUCGGGAACGCAGUGACAGGUGCUGCACGGCUGUCGUCAGCUCGUGUUGUGAAAUGUUGGGUUAAGUCCCGCAACGAGCGCAACCCCUAUUGAUAGUUACCAUCAUUAAGUUGGGUACUCUAUUGAGACUGCCGCUGACAAGGCG